rnacentral:tRNA from 1 species
GGAAGAGUCGCAUAGCGGUCUAGUGCGAGCGCUUGGAAAGCGCUUAUGGUGCAAGCCAUCGCAGGUUCAAAUCCUGUCUCUUCCGCCA